UACAGAGGGGGCAAGCGUUAUUCGGAAUUAUUGGGCGUAAAGGGCGCGUAGGCGGCUUUGCAAGUGACGGGUGAAAUCCCUCGGCUUAACCGAGGAACUGCCUGUCAGACUGCAUGGCUUGAGACCAGGAGAGGUGAGUGGAAUUCCCAGUGUAGCGGUGAAAUGCGUAGAUAUUGGGAGGAACACCAGUGGCGAAAGCGGCGCGCUGGACCUUAACUGACGCUGAGGCGCGAAAGCCAGGGGAGCAAACGGG
rnacentral:rRNA from 1 species